rnacentral:rRNA from 1 species
GACGAACGCUGGCGGCGUGCUUAACACAUGCAAGUCGAACGGAAAGGCCUUUUCGGAGGUACUCGAGUGGCGAACGGGUGAGUAACACGUGGGUGAUCUGCCCUGCACUCUGGGAUAAGCCUGGGAAACUGGGUCUAAUACCGGAUAGGACCGCACUUUAGUGUGUGUGGUGGAAAGUUUUUUCGGUGUAGGAUGAGCCCGCGGCCUAUCAGCUUGUUGGUGGGGUAAUGGCCUACCAAGGCGGCGACGGGUAGCCGGACUGAGAGGUUGGUCGGCCACAUUGGGCCUAAGGUAGGCCCCAGUCGCCAACGGGAGGCAGCGGAGGGGAGUAUGGCGCAAUGGGCGCAAGCCAGAGACGGCGGGGCUGGGUGGGGGAUGACGUCCUGCGGGUGGAAAACACGUUCCACCGGGAACGAAGGGUUUUGUGCGGGAACUUGAAAGAGAGGCACGGCCAAACUACGG